ensembl:piRNA 21ur-10773 ncRNA
UAGAUCGGUAUAUAUAUAGGU